CAGUCGACGAACUUCCGUUAAUUGAUUAUGACGUGCUUGCACUGAAUGAGAUUUUAACACGAAGUGAGUGGCGGACGGGUGAGUAACACGUGGGUAACCUGCCCAGAAGCAGGGGAUAACACCUGGAAACAGAUGCUAAUACCGUAUAACAGAGAAAACCGCCUGGUUUUCUUUUAAAAGAUGGCUCUGCUAUCACUUCUGGAUGGACCCGCGGCGCAUUAGCUAGUUGGUGAGGUAACGGCUCACCAAGGCGAUGAUGCGUAGCCGACCUGAGAGGGUAAUCGGCCACAUUGGGACUGAGACACGGCCCAGACUCCUACGGGAGGCAGCAGUAGGGAAUCUUCCACAAUGGACGCAAGUCUGAUGGAGCAACGCCGCGUGAGUGAAGAAGGGUUUCGGCUCGUAAAGCUCUGUUGUUAAAGAAGAACGUGGGUGAGAGUAACUGUUCACCCAGUGACGGUAUUUAACCAGAAAGCCACGGCUAACUACGUGCCAGCAGCCGCGGUAAUACGUAGGUGGCAAGCGUUAUCCGGAUUUAUUGGGCGUAAAGCGAGCGCAGGCGGUCUUUUAAGUCUAAUGUGAAAGCCUUCGGCUCAACCGAAGAAGUGCAUUGGAAACUGGGAGACUUGAGUGCAGAAGAGGAUAGUGGAACUCCAUGUGUAGCGGUGAAAUGCGUAGAUAUAUGGAAGAACACCAGUGGCGAAGGCGGCUGUCUGGUCUGUAACUGACGCUGAGGCUCGAAAGCAUGGGUAGCGAACAGGAUUAGAUACCCUGGUAGUCCAUGCCGUAAACGAUGAUUACUAAGUGUUGGAGGGUUUCCGCCCUUCAGUGCUGCAGCUAACGCAUUAAGUAAUCCGCCUGGGGAGUACGACCGCAAGGUUGAAACUCAAAAGAAUUGACGGGGGCCCGCACAAGCGGUGGAGCAUGUGGUUUAAUUCGAAGCUACGCGAAGAACCUUACCAGGUCUUGACAUCUUCUGCCAACCUAAGAGAUUAGGCGUUCCCUUCGGGGACAGAAUGACAGGUGGUGCAUGGUUGUCGUCAGCUCGUGUCGUGAGAUGUUGGGUUAAGUCCCGCAACGAGCGCAACCCUUAUUACUAGUUGCCAGCAUUCAGUUGGGCACUCUAGUGAGACUGCCGGUGACAAACCGGAGGAAGGUGGGGACGACGUCAAAUCAUCAUGCCCCUUAUGACCUGGGCUACACACGUGCUACAAUGGAUGGUACAACGAGUCGCGAAACCGCGAGGUUUAGCUAAUCUCUUAAAACCAUUCUCAGUUCGGACUGUAGGCUGCAACUCGCCUACACGAAGUCGGAAUCGCUAGUAAUCGCGGAUCAGCAUGCCGCGGUGAAUACGUUCCCGGGCCUUGUACACACCGCCCGUCACACCAUGAGAGUUUGUAACACCCAAAGCCGGUGGG
rnacentral:rRNA from 1 species